GAGAAGCCAAACACCAUCAACGCCAUGUUCGUGCGUGGGGCUUGUGCUGGGGGGAGGGGGACUACCUGGCCGGUUCUCGGCGCCACCGCGGGGCGCGUGUCACCGUGGUCGGUCUCUUCAUGACACCCGUCGGUGAGUUACCAUGCGAUCGAGUUUAUUCAUUACAUUAUGCGUGUAGCACCCCGCAGAACGUUGCUUAGCGCGUCACGGUGCCGGUAAUGGCUGGUCAGAAUCGUUACUCCGCCGUGGAGCUUCACCAUGUCGAGAACCGAUGCCUCCGCGCUACCACGGUGGGUAACAAACCCUAGGUCUAGUUGUGGUCAUCUCAUAUUAGCGUAUUGCCGAUCGCGGGGGAUCCUGGAGCCUGGAUGACCGGACCGAGGUCUCCGGCGAGGACCACCGUCGGGGUGCAGUUGGGCGCCGCCACCCUGGUGGUUGGCUGGAGAAGAGAGAGGUUGAACCGCAGAUCUUUGCGUAGACGGUUAAGAUUAGAAGUGGCGUACCAUUUCGGUCCUGGGCCAUCUCAACCGUCGAUCGGCGGAUGAGCGGUGUAGAGCAAAGCGCGUGACUUAAAAAUUAGAAUCGUUGAUCGGGGGAUCGAGGGUCUGGGAUGAGAUGCUGUCUUGGGUGGUUUCAGGCCAUGGAUCCUUGAUCCCGUGGCUAUGGAUGGAUACCGGUUCAUAAAUGGGUAUAAUCCAAUCCGAACCGUAGACUCCAAAUCCGGCGGCCCAGAACUCUUCUUAACCCUUUGUCGUGCAUAUUUUGCAUAAGUGUCCUUGACUUAAAUGGAAAACAACCCGCCAUCCAUAAUGGUUCAAAGAGUAUUACAGCCCAGUCUAGAAACUUACAUUUUAGCCUCCUUAGUUAAUAAAAAUAGUUGUUAUCAUCCAUGGGUCAUCAGGAAAUAGAAAAUUAAUAUUAAAGAUGUUUUCUAGCAUAGAAAUAAAUCUAGAAUCCUAUUUAAUUCAUAAGUAAUGCAUGUUAACUCCGAAUUGAUCCAUUCUAGUUGCAUUAAUCUCAUAGUAAUAUUGUUCUUCAAUAGUAACCUUAUUUUAUCAUGAAACCUAUGGUUAAAAUUAUGCAGUCAAUUUAUUUUAUAUCUACCACGUAAAACUUCAUAAAAUCAUAACUCUUUAAUGGUAACUCCGAAUUUAGUGGUUCUCUGUAACGCCCUGAAUUUGGGGGUAGGAUUUUUCUUCUUCGAUACUCACCAAAUUCAGGCGUUACUCUCUUUUCUUUUCCCGUUUCGCUCCUUCUUCCCAUUUUCAAAGCAGUAUAACGACUGGUGUCAGUCUCGCGUGUAAACAAAAACCUAAGUUGACAUGGGUGUUGCAUCAUGCCGAAGUAUUUUUCUUUUGUCUGAUGAUUGUGUUUAAUCGCGCGUCCGUCUCGCCUCGUUUUGGAUUUUGAUUCGCAAUUGGUUUUUGAUCAGUGGACGCGUGUGUUGUGGGCUUCAGUCCCGGCCUGCGACCCAGCCUAGCCCGACCCGACCCAGCCCGGCCCGGCCCAGCACGCCCCGCGUGCCCCUGGCGACCCAAACCCCCCAUGCGCCCCCUCUCCCUUCCUCUCAUUUGAUUUUCCCGCGCAACAACUCCCUCUCCCUCUCUUCCACCUCUCUCCCACCUCUUUGCCCUAGGUGAUCCGGAGACGGUUAUCGCCGGAUUUUGGAUCCCAAGGUGAGAUCUCCCUCUCCCUCUCUCUCCCUCUCACUCCCCUUUCCCCUCUUCCCUAUGCGCGUCCCUGCCCUUUUCUCCCUUGCACGCGGCCUGGCGGCGGCUCGCCCCAGCGCCCCAUGGCACGGCCCGGCGGCGCGGCCCUGGUGGCUCCCUGGCGUGGCCUCGGCGGUUCGCCUCGGCGCGGCCUUGCGGUAGGGCCCCGCGGCACGGCCCCUUGCGUGGCCCCCCAGGCAGCUCGCCCCCUGGCGCCCCCUCGGCGCGUGAUAGAAGACGUGGCUCGAUCUUCCAUGAGAUACGAUAACUUGAUUGAGUGGAGAUCUCGAUGUUGAUGAUCCAAGGCUCCGAGCGAACGGUUCCUCACAAUCACAGCUCCGUUGGUUAUCACCUGUGACACACGAGUGACCUCGCCAUGAAGGCUUAUCCCUGCAAGCGCAAUCAAGAACACAAGCAAGAACAGGAAAGAAAUGCAACCAAAAUUUUAUUGAUUACGGGAUGGGGUCUCACAAUCCGAUGACGGCGACACUGUUCGAUGACAGAAUUGAUCUAAGCAAAACCCAAACCUAAUGUGGCAGCGGCUGCUGAAUAAAUAGAGUAUUAGGGCGUGCGUGACCCCUAGACUCGCCCCUAAUGGGCUCCGACGCGAUACACGGCCCAACGGCCCAACAGACGGUGUCGCAGCACCAAAACAUAAUCUGAAUGCUGAAUUGUUUCGAUGAUUCCCGUUGACUUCGGAUGAAUUUUAAGGUGGAACCAGUUGGGUUGGUUAGAUAAUCUCUUUAUCUUUCCAACCAUAUCAAGUCCGUCACACUCGAAGUCUGGAUGCAUCUUGGGCGUCCAUUUUAGUGCAGACUGGUCCUGGAACCUGAGAUGGAGUCACAGCCGAGUCGGACUUGAUCUCCUUCCUGUUGUGGGCGCCCUUGCUACUCCUCCUCAACACCUAGGCCUUUCCCAAAUCCUUGCUGGUCCUCUCCAAGGUUCCUAAUAAUCAAAACAUCCAUGGCCCCAAGUGUAAGCUCUAAAACACAAUUGACUAGGGUAGAACGUACUUGGAGAUUUAGCUAUCGUGCACGCAAUCGUGUUAUCGGUCCAUUCAUUGUAUGUAUAGAAGUGAUGUCCUCAUCCUCCUCCUCCUCCUCUUGAAUUGGAGUCAUCCUCGACUCGAUCUCAUCUUCGUCACCCAUAUAUGGCUUCAAAUCUAAAAUUUUAAAGGUGGGACUAACCCCAAAAUCUGGCGGCAACUCAAGUGUAUAUGCAUUAUCAUUAAUUUUCGCAAGAACUUUAUAAGGACCUGCAGCUCGUGGCAUAAGUUUAGACUUUCUCAAAUCAGGAAACCUAUCAUUUCUCAAAUAAACUCACACCAAGUCACCAGGUUCCAAUUUCAUUUCCUUCCUGCCUUUAUUAGCAGCAAUACGAUACUUUUCAUUCAUCUUUUCAAUUUGCAACUUAGUUGUUUCAUGUAACUUAAGAAUGAAUUCAGAACGUUGUGUAGCAUCCAAGUUCACUAUUUUAGAAGUUGGUAAAGGUAGCAAAUCAAUUGGAGCACGAGGAUUAAAACCAUAUACUACCAUAAAUGGACUAAGCUUGGUUGUGGAAUGAAUUAAUCUGUUAUAAGCAAACUCAAUAUGUGGCAAACAUUCCUCCCACAACCUCAAAUUAUUCUUCAAAAUAGCCCGCAACAUGGUAGAUAAAGUGCGAUUAACAACCUCUGUUUGCCCGUCAGUUUGGGGAUGACAAGUAGUAGAAAACAACAACUUUGUUCCCAAUUUAAACCACAAGGUUCUCCAAAAAUGACUUAAAAACUUAGCAUCCCUAUCAGAAACAAUAGUAUUUGGCACACCAUGCAAACGCACAAUCUCAAUGAAGAGCAAAUCAGCAACAUGUGGAGCAUUAUCAGUUUUAUGACAGGGUAUAAAAUGUGCCAUCUUUGAAAAACGAUAGACAACGACAAAAACACUAUCACUCCCCCUCUUUGUUCUAGGAAAUCCCAAAACAAAAUCCAUAGAAAUAUCCUCCCAAGGUGCACGAGGAACAGGAAGAGGCAAAUAAAGACCAUGGGGGUUAAGUCGGGACUUAGCUUUGUUGCACGUGGUGCAACGAGAGACGUAGCGCUCAACAUCACACUGCAUUCGACGCCAAUAGAAAUGAGUAAACAACCCAUCCUCAGUCUUCUUAACACCAAAAUGUCCCAUCAAGCCACCUCCAUGUGCUUCCUGCAAGUGUAGAAGACGAACGGAGCUAGCUGGAACACAUAACUUGUUAGCACGGUAGAGAAGGCCUUCACGCAGCAUAAAUUUUUGCCACGUUCUUCCCUCUCUGCAAUUUUCAAAAGCAUCUUUGAAGUCCAAAUCAGCAGCAUAUAAUUCCUUUAUAGUCUCCAAACCAAAGAUUUUAUGAUUAAGUUGGGACAACAUAGUAUAACGUCUAGAUAAAGCAUCAACAAUCACAUUAUCCUUUCCUUUUUUAUGCUUAAUAAUGUAAGGAAAUGAUUCUAUGAAUUCAAUCCAUUUAGCAUGUCGUUUGUUUAGAUUAGAUUGUCACUUAAGAUUCUUCAAAGAUUCAUGAUCCGAAUGUAUGAUUAAUUCUUUAGGCCAUAGAUAAUGUUGCCAAGUUUGUAAAACUCGUACUAAAGCAUAUAAUUCUUUGUCAUAUGUAGAAUAAUUCAGAGUUGGACCAUGCAAUUUUUCACUAAAGAAAGCAAUAGGUUUACCUCCUUGAAUGAGCACUCCUCCAAUCCCAAUGCCGCUCGCAUCACACUCGAGCUCGAAUGUCUUGUCAAAAUCAGAAAGUUGCAGCAGUGGUGCUUGUGUGAGCUUUGACUUGAGGGCAUCAAAUGCUUGUUGUUGUGAUGAUCCCCAACGAAACGACACUCCUUUCUUUGUCAACUCGUGGAGAGGUGCUGCAAUGGUGCUGAAAUCCCACACAAAUCGCUUGUAGAAUCCUGCAAGACUAAGAAAACUUCGAACCUGCGUGACCGUGGUUGGAAGUGGCCAGCUCGUGAUGGCAACAAUUUUUGCCUCAUCCAUCUCAAUGCCCUACGAUGUCACAACAUAUCCAAGAAAAGACACAUGAUCGGUGUUGAAGGUGCACUUCUCAAGGUUACCAAAUAAACGUGCAUCACGCAAAACAUCAAAAACAGCACGUAAAUGUUCAAUAUGAUCAUCAUGAGACUUACUAUAGAUAAGAGUAUCAUCAAAAUAUACCUACCAAUGAAAGCACGUAAAACCUCGUUCAUCAAUCUCAUGAAAGUGCUAGGCACAUUGGUUAACCCAAAAGGCAUGACUAACCACUCAUAAAGACCAAACUUAGUUUUAAAUGCAGUUUUCCAUUCAUCACCUAAAGACAUACGAAUCUGGUGGUAUCCACUACGCAAGUCAAUUUUAGAGAAAACAAUAGAACCACUUAAUUCAUCAAGCAUGUCAUCCAAUCUAGGAAUAGUAUAUUUGUACCGAAUUGUGAUGUUAUUAAUGGCUCUACAAUCAACACACAUGCGCCAAGUGCCAUCUUUCUUAGGAACCAAAAGAACAGGAAUAGAACAAGGACUAAGGUUCUCACGAAUGUACCCGUGGUCCAAAAGGUCUUGGACCUGGCGAUGAAUCAUCUUAGUCUCCUCAGGGUUGGUCCUGUAGGCAGCACGGUUGGGCAAGCUCGCCCCUGGAAUUAAAUCAAUCUUGUGCUCAAUGCCUCGCACAGGUGGUAAUCUAGGGGGUAUCUCAGAGGGAAACACAUCCAUAUACUCUUGCAAAAGGUUAGCAAUAGCCGGUGGCAAAGCAAUGACGUAUCAUCAAUGGAAUAGAAAGCAUUUUUGCACACUAAGGCAUAGCAAAGUCCAAUAGAGGCAUGCAACUCAUCAAGAUCAGAUUUAGUGGCUAGCAAAGUAGGAGUUUUUAACUUAUUAGGUUGCUGAUUUUCCGAGUUCAAAACACCUUUUUGCUUAGCAUUAGUCUUUUUCUCAUGUUCAAAGUGGACAAUUUCAGUGGGAGUCAUAGGAAGCAACACAAUUUUCUUUCCCUUAUGCAUGAAAGUAUAUUUAUUAGAUCUACCAUGGUGAAUAGCAUCAGUAUCAAACUUCCAAGGAUGUCCUAGUAAAAGAGAGCAAGCAUCCAUACUCACCACAUCGAAAUCAGCAAAGUCAUGGUAAGAGCCAAUAGAAAAAUGCACCCUUGCUGUUUUUGUUACCUUAAACUUACCGCUGUUGUUAAACCAUUGAAUGUGAUAAGGGUGGGGAUGCUCUCGUGUGGUCAAGCCAAGCUUCUUGACCACCUCAACGUUCACCAAGUUGUUGCAGCUACCACUGUCAAUGAUGGUAUGUACACGGUAGUCCUUGACGAUGAGGAACAUGUUGAAAAGGUUGUGGCGCUGUCUGUUGUCAUUGUCACUAGCCAUGGCACUCAAAGCUCGUUGCACAAUCAAGGCCUUAUAUGUCUCGGUCGCUGUUGUACCAAGAACCUCUUCAUCACCAUCAUAAGUCUCUACAAUGUUAGCUCCAACAGUAUCUUCAUCUUUAACAUCAGAAGCACUAACAUACCCACCAUCACCAAUAGCAAUGUAUGCCCAUUUGCUGGGGCACUCUCGCUAAAUAUGGCCAAGUCCCUAGCAGCGGUGGCACUUGAUGUCGGAGGAGCGGCCUGUGGAAGAGGUGGUCGUAGCAGGUUUUGCUGCAACACCCGAAGGCACCAAGGACUUGUUGUUGUCGUGUCCCUGUGAUGCCGAAGGUGCGGUGUUGCAUGUGCCGCUGGUGGAGGAAGAUGUGGACGUCCGCACGCCCGAAGAGGAUGACGCCUUAGCUGGCGCCGGUGGCUGGCAUGGCACGAAAAUGCUGCUCCUCCGCUGUUGACGACCCUGCAAUUCUUUUUCUGCCAACAUAGAAAGAUGGAACAAGCGUUGUAUAGAAUGAUAUUCUUUAUAAUCAACAAUAUCCUUAAUCUCCCGCCUCAAUCCCCUAUAAAACCUAACCAUUUGAUCCUUCGGAUCCUCAACUACCCCACAUCGUAGCAUACCUUUCUAAAGCUCUUGGUAGUACUCCUGUACCGACAUGUCUCCCAGCUUAAGCCCCUUCUCCUUGUCCAUUUGGUUCUUUGGUCCUGUCAUUGUUAGCACAAAACAGAGACAAAAGGCAACAAACAAUGUGAACCCUACAACUAUCUCUUAGGGUGGUGGUGGUGGAAUACAAAUUAUGAAGCGUCUUACCCCGCUCUUACAAGGUUCUUACCAGCACUGCAGGUGGCAAACGGUGACCGGUGUGACUGUCCAACGAGCGUGGGUGUGAUUGCAAAGGAGUACCUGUUCUGCUCGAGAGAAAGCUGGAGCUCUGGGAAGGCUGACUAAAUAUAUAUAUGUGGCACACAAGUCAGUAACAGAUAGCAAUGCUGAAUAAGUGUUCCAAGUACUUGUCCUAGUUGCUGGCCUAGAAAAUGUAAUAGAACAGUUGGACCAAGGCACAAGAAAGGAGGUACAAGUAUAUGGGUGCAGCAAGAAAAUAGGCUUGGGGCAAAAUA
rnacentral:lncRNA from 1 species